GUGGGGAAUAUUGGGCAAUGGGGGCAACCCUGACCCAGCAACGCCGCGUGAGGGAAGAAGGUUUUCGGAUUGUAAACCUCUGUCCUAUGGGAAGAAGGAAGUGACGGUACCAUAGGAGGAAGCCCCGGCUAACUACGUGCCAGCAGCCGCGGUAAUACGUAGGGGGCGAGCGUUGUCCGGAAUUACUGGGCGUAAAGGGUGCGCAGGUGGCCUGACAAGUCAGAUGUGAAAUACCGAUGCUUAACGUCGGGGCUGCAUUUGAAACUAUGAGGCUGGAGUGCAGGAGAGGGAAGCGGAAUUCCUAGUGUAGCGGUGAAAUGCAUAGAUAUUAGGAGGAACACCAGUGGCGAAGGCGGCUUUCUGGACUGUAACUGACACUGAGGCACGAAAGCGUGGGGAGCAAACAGGAUUAGAAACCCGGGUAGUCC
rnacentral:rRNA from 1 species